UACGUAUGGUGCAAGCGUUAUCCGGAUUUACUGGGCGUAAAGGGAGCGCAGGCGGCGCGCCAAGUCUGAUGUGAAACCCCGGGGCUCAACCCCGGGCAUGCAUUGGAAACUGGCGGGCUGGAGUGCCGGAGAGGUAAGCGGAAUUCCUAGUGUAACGGUGAAAUGCGUAGAUAUUAGGAGGAACACCAGUGGCGAAGGCGGCUUACUGGACGGCAACUGACGCUGAGGCUCGAAAGCGUGGGGAGCAAACAGG
rnacentral:rRNA from 1 species